ensembl:lncRNA
CCUCCUACAGCACCCACAACACAGAGUUGCGACUUCGCUUGCUGACACCCAAAUCCGGUUGUGGGUUGCCUUCUCCGGCGUGAGUCACUGUAGUUCCCACUGCUGCUUCCAAACGCUUUUUCACAUGAGGGGGACAGGGUGGUCAGCAGCAGACAGUGCUCCCAGACAACCUCAGAGUUAUGGUGGCAUGGAUGCUUUCCACCCAGGUGAAAUCUUCUGGGUGUUGGUGUUCACAGUCCCAGUGCUGGCUGUUCUCCUUAUUCUUUGUACUGACUGUCAGGAUUCCGAAUUAGACACACCACCUGAAGAAGAUCAUACCUGCAAGCCAUCCACUAAUGCCCAGACCGAGAACUUUUGGUUGGUGAGGCCUCCAUUGUCAGACUGUGCAGAAACACGACUCACAAGUUCAUCAUUUUCUGCUGUGCAGUCCCAGACGGAGUUUCAGAGAUGUCCCCUGUACAGCCAUUCCUAUCAACCAACCUCAGCCAUCAAGGCCGAAGAGGACACAGAUAGUGUACCGAGUUAUGAAAAUCAAGGACCAGCCUGUAUCACUGAUGACGAUGACACAGAUGGCAACUAUAUCCCAUCCUACAUUGAGGUGUUGCCUGAGGCUCCACGCACAGAUCAAGACAAUGGAUAUCGUGGUUCUUCAGAUUCAAUAGUGGAGCAGUAUGAGAAUGUGUUAGAGACUCGACAAUCACCAGGUGAAUACGUCAAUGUACUAGAACCAGAGGCAACCAUCCGUGACCAUUUUGCUGGUGUCAGUGAUCAGGAGAGCGAAGAUGAUACUCCAGACUAUGAAAAUGUCUGCCCUGGGCUUUGAACUAUCUGGACACAUGGAAGCAUGCUGAAGAAAACUUAACCUGUUGAAGGGCUGUUUCAAGGCAGCAUUCCUUGACUGGGUCACUAACAUGAAGCCCUGAUCAAUUGUUCUCAUGAGGAUACUUCCCCUAUUUGCCAUCACCCCUAGCAUCAUCGUAACUUAUUGCCGGCUUUUGCACUUUGGUUUGACACAUCCUGAGAAUUUCCCAUGAUCCCAUUGUGCCUUUUUAGCAAGGUUCAGAAGCACGAUAGUCCGCUGGUUCUGGGCAUUUCAAUUCCCAAUUCUCUUCAAAACUCACUGGAUUGUUUGUAUUUCUUGGCUAAAUAAAGAACCAGUCAUUUCACA